rnacentral:lncRNA from 1 species
GCUCACACAGAGCAGCAUCAGGCUCCUGGAGCAGGAAGAAAGGGAUGUGCAUUCCCCAAAUGCAGCAGGGAGCUCUGACAUUGCCUCUCCCCGGCCUCUGAAGCUGGUGAGAGGAUUGCCCUUUGCUCCCCUGCCCUGGAAAUGUCAUCCUGGCUGGAGAGGGAGUUCUGUGCCUGCUCCUCGCCCCAGGCUGAGGCAGCUGCGUGGCAAAUUGAUGAGGAGCAGAUGCUUUGAGCUCAGGAAGGGUUUUCCCUGCCUGGGCAGGUGUUAAUGGGAAAGGUUACAGCUCGCUAACUCCGUCUCCCUCCCUCUGCAAACAAACAUUGGAUUUAAACCUGCUCAGAAUUCAGCGCAGACGGAAAGCAGCGGCGGCAGCAGCAAGCAGCAAGCAGCGCAGCCGCUCGCCUAGCGCAGCUCCAAGAUGAACCAUCCUGCCUGCUGGAUCGUCUUCACGGCCACCACUGCCCUGCUCUUCAUCCCAGGACAACCAGCCUGGAAUGCGUGUCCCGCUGGAUUGUGGCCCUGGCAGGACGUGCAGCGCUGGGAUGCUGCUGUUCUCUGCUGCUCCAGCUCAGGCAGCGCCGCCUGCCCUUGCGAGCGCUCGCUCCAUCCCCCGGGAACUCACUCCGGCUUCGCUGCGAUUAAUCUCAUCGGCCACUGGAUGUCAAUGUUGCCUCAUCCAAUUACAAGUGGGAAAGUUGUGGAUCUUCAGGAAGGGGGAGAAAAUGCUGCUGUCAGAAUAUUGCAGGAAAACUUGGAUGUGUGUCCUAUUCCUUUUCCAAAGGGAGCUUUGUGGAGGCACAAAGGCAGCCUGUGGCUACCUUGCAGUGUGGUGACAUGGUUGAAGAGUGUCACAGAAGCUGAGUGUGCUCACAUCUUUCCUGGGAAGACUGCCUUGCAUACCCUGCUUUGA